GCUGCGGCAGGGCCGGGCCGGCCGCUCCCUCCGCCGCGGGGCUGCUGCGGCCCUAAGGACACGAAUGGUGCUCGGAGAGGUCAAGUCCUACCGAAAGAAAAAGGCUGCCACCUGAAACAGUAGCACUCUCUCUGUGCUGCUACUGCUGAUGGAGAAGUUAUGUGGCAAUAUCCGUAUGACAUGACAGAGAACCCUCCAAACAAGCCUGUUGUGAUGCAACACUAAUUCAGUAACAUCAAGUUUCUAAUUUGCCACUUUUCCAGACAUGAUGUUUUAUUUCAAGUAGUAAACUGCUGCAUUGGAAAAGAUCUCACAGACUCUCCCUGAGGAUGCAUUUGCACUGGUUUGACAGAUAUUUUGGACUUACAUAAACAAAAGAGAGAAAUUUGACAGCUAUAUUAAAUGCAGUCAUGACAACAAGACAUUGCAAAGACAGCAAGAUUCUACAUUCUGCUUUCAGAGCCAUCUCACUGGUUCAGAAGAAGGUAAGAGAUAUAACUUCUAUAGCUGUACAAUAUGGAUACAGUCAACGAUAAAAACUAUUGCUUGAAAUAGGAAGAUAGCUCCAACCCCCCUCCCAAAAAAAACCCCAAACCCAAACCCAAACAAGCCCACUAGCCAAUAAUUCAAUUUGGUAAUCUGUAUUCUAGAUUAAAAACAUUGCUACUUCUGCCAGGGAUCCCCCCCUUACCUCCGGGGUUUUCUUUGCAAGCUACAAACUUAAAAAUAGUCUGGAGCUGCUGUCCAUUUAGUCACAAGCAGAAUAAAACUACUAUAGCAAAAUAGAUAGAAAGCGAGAACUUACUUUGCCCUUCAAAUUUUCGUAUGAUUGUACCCAAAAAUGUAUUUUGUGGUGCCACAUGACCUCUGCGAACAGGCAUGUUUGUACAGGUCUUCGGUUUUCUGUGCACAAUGACUUCUCCAAGGAUCUCCUACACGGCUCCAGCCCAAAGCACCGAGCCAGCUACCCUUUGUGACAAAUCAUCGUCCUCUGGAGCUCGGAAAUCUCUUCCCAUUAGCACCACUUCUAGAGACACGCUUUUCCUAUUGGAGUCAGAUUCAUCCCCCAGUUUCUUUCUUUUUCUUUCUUUCUCUCCUUGCUUUCUUUUCUAUUUUUUUCCCGGAGGAGCUCGGACGCUAUUGUCUGGGGCGGGUAGGGG